UAGGGAAUCAUCCGCAAUGGGCGAAAGCCUGACGGUGCAACGCCGCGUGAGUGAUGAAGGUUUUCGGAUCGUAAAGCUCUGUUGACAGGGAAGAACCCACGUCAGUUGAACAGGCUGGCGUGCUGACGGUACCUGUCCAGAAAGCCCCGGCUAACUACGUGCCAGCAGCCGCGGUAAUACGUAGGGGGCAAGCGUUGUCCGGAAUUAUUGGGCGUAAAGGGCACGCAGGCGGUUUCGUCAGUCCGAUGUGACAGGCCACGGCUCAACCGUGGAAGGCCAUUGGAAACUGCGAAACUUGAGGACAGAAGAGGAGAGUGGAAUUCCACGUGUAGCGGUGAAAUGCGUAGAUAUGUGGAGGAACACCAGUGGCGAAGGCGACUCUCUGGUCUGUACCUGACGCUGAGGUGCGAAAGCAUGGGGAGCAAACAGGAUUAGAUACCCUGGUAGUCCAUGCCGUAAACGCUGAGUGCUAGGUGUUAGGGGUUUCGAUACCCGUAGUGCCGAAGCUAACGCA
rnacentral:rRNA from 1 species